rnacentral:rRNA from 1 species
CCUACGGGAGGCUGCAGUGGGGAAUAUUGCACAAUGGGGGAAACCCUAAUGCAGCGACGCCGCGUGAGCGAUGAAGUAUUUCGGUAUGUAAAGUUCUAUCAUCAGGGAAGAAAAUGACGGUACCUGAUUAAGAAGCCCCGGCUAACUACGUGCCAGCAGCCGCGGUAAUACGUAGGGGGCAAGCGUUAUCCGGAUUUACUGGGUGUAAAGGGAGCGUAGACGGGAGUACAAGGCUGGGGGGAAAUGCCGUGGGUUAACCCCGGAACUGCUUUGGAAACUGUGCAGCUAGAGUGCGGGAGAGGUAAGUGGAAUUCCUAGUGUAGCGGUGAAAUGCGUAGAUAUUAGGAGGAACACCAGUGGCGAAGGCGGCUUACUGGACUGUAACUGACGUUGAGGCUCGAAAGCGUGGGGAGCAAACAGGAUUAGAUACCCUUGUAGUC